UACAGAGGUCUCAAGCGUUGUUCGGAUUCCUUGGGCGUUAAUGGCGCGUAGGCGGCGUGGUAAGUCGGGUGUGAAAUCUCAGGGCUCAACCCUGAAACUGCACUCGAUACUGCUCUGCUUGAGGACUGGAGAGGAGACUGGAAUUCACGGUGUAGCAGUGAAAUGCGUAGAUAUCGUGAGGAAGACCAGUGGCGAAGGCGGGUCUCUGGACAGUUCCUGACGCUGAGGCGCGAAGGCCAGGGGAGCAAACGGG
rnacentral:rRNA from 1 species